rnacentral:tRNA from 1 species
GUAGCUCAGUGGUUAGAGCAUCCAACUGGUGUACGAAAGGUCAUGGGUUCAAAUCCCGUCUGGGACU